GAUGAACGCUGGCGGCGUGCUUAACACAUGCAAGUCGAACGAGAAGUGGAGACGGAACCCUUCGGGCGGAAGACUUUAUUUCGAGUGGCGGACGGGUGAGUAACGCGUGGGUAACCUGCCUCAUACAGGGGGAUAACAGUUGGAAACGACUGUUAAUACCGCAUAAGACCACAGCACCGCAUGGUGCGGGGGUAAAACUCCGGUGGUAUGAGAUGGACCCGCGUUCGAUUAGCCAGUUGGCGGGGUAACGGCCCACCAAAGCGACGAUCGAUAGCCGAUCUGAGAGGAUGACCGGCCACAUUGGGACUGAGACACGGCCCAAACUCCUACGGGAGGCAGCAGUGGGGAAUAUUGCACAAUGGGGGAAACCCUGAUGCAGCGACGCCGCGUGAGUGAAGAAGUAUUUCGGUAUGUAAAGCUCUAUCAGCAGGGAAGAAAAUGACGGUACCUGAGUAAGAAGCCCCGGCUAACUACGUG
rnacentral:rRNA from 1 species